ensembl:lncRNA
AUGAACCUCUUUGUUUUUUGCGCCCAAACCCCAGUUCUGUUGAUUCAUGCUCUGUUAUUCCUGUCGACGGCCAGGUCUUGGGCCCAAAAACCGGUCAUGGGCCCAACAACACUCUCUGCGAUCACUGCCACUCCAGGGGGAAACACCUCAUUAGAACAAACCUCCCCGAUACCAACACACACACACGAUACUGAGGCCUCAUCGCAAACAGCGAAUAGCACUACCCUACCUUCACUACUCAAUGGCACCGACACGGCACACACACCAGACGAGAAGAGUGGAGACACUGGGAAUACUUCUCUGACAGUUCCAGUUCCAGUCACUGUCACCAGCCCUGCGCCGGAGAUCACCACCACUGCGCCGAAGAUCACCCCCACUGCGCCGGAGAUCACCAUCACUGGGCUUUCGUCGACGAAGCCAGUGAUGACCUCCAGCACGACUGCUCAAUCUACAGUGUCAUCGGCUGGAGGAUCUGUGAUCCUGAUUUUCAUCUUGUUGGCCAUCAUUGCUCUGGGAGUUCUUCUGUAUUACCUGCGCAAGAAAUCAAGGAGUUACUCUUUUGACCUCCAUUUCCCCGCCGACGACCAAGCCAGUGAUAACACACCCCUUAAACCUGUGGAGGUGGAGAUGGAGAGGUUUCAGCCUAAAGACACAGACAGUCCAGCGACUCUCCCGUCUGAAGUUAAUGACUGUGCUGCCAACCACCUGGGCGUAGCCAAUGGGGGUGUAGAGGAGGGACCAGGGGAGACAGCCAUCACUCUUGACAGUAGAAGUAGCGAAUCAGAUGAGUUUGUUGGUUGCGGAGAUCUCUCGAUAGAUUGCUUGCCAAAGGCUGGGUCGCAGAUAGAUUGCGUGCCAGAGGCUGGGUCGCAGACAGAGGACACCUCACAUGUCAACGUAGAAGAACAAUCAGGCAAUGAAAACAAUAACAACUUCACAGUUGUCACCAAGGUAACAGCAGGUCAGUGAAGAUGUGUUUAUGUGUGUAAUAUGAGUUUUAAGGUCUUUUGUUCCAAUACGGUUGAUGUCUAUGUAUCUGUACCAGCUACACUUUAACGUGUGCAUGUACCUAUGUAAUAUGGUUUCAUGUAAUAGGGUGCAAUGUGUGUUUUGCAGGGCUCAAGGGUAGAGAGGACAACUUUACAGAAAUCAGCCUUAAUUAGGCAUUAAGAAGACAACCCUAAACAAUAACCUUUAACCCUUAACCUCUGACACCCUGACCCUCAGUUCCAACACUGAGUCUUUGCUUGCUUCAUCCUUUGUCAUUGCUUGUUGCCCAUAGCUCUUUGUUACCACGAGUUCCUUGUAUUCAUUGAUAAGCCCUAAACCAUAAGCCCUAUCCAAGAUCCAUUACUCCUAGCACCGUGCCCCUAACCUAUUGGGUUAUGAUAUGGUAUAUGGUAUAUUGGGUUAUGAUAUUGUAUGUGAUAUCUCUCAUUGAUAUAUCCCUAAGCCCUAACCUACCCAUUGGGUUCUAUGUCAAGGUUAUUUUUUGUGAUCACUUGCAUCAAACCCUCAACCUGCUAACUCCCUCCUUGAUGCACCUAACAUUUAAGCCCCCCCCAUUUAUAUGCUGUAGUUGCAUACUUUGCGUACUUGCAUGUGUCUGCAGUUCACACACACACACACACACACACAAUAAUACAUGCUUUGUAGUUAUAUCCACCUGUCUAUCUGUAGGAACAUGGUCUGUACAGUAUUACUAGCACAUCUUUCAGAAGGUAUCUCUGGAGACUUGCAUACAGUUUUUGUUUGAAUAUGAUUAAAAGAUGUAACGAACUGACAUUGUAUUGAAUUGAACAGAUAAAUUCAUACUUUGAAUUGUAUAAAGUAGUGUUGUUACGUGAUGAGUGAAUACGGAUGUGUUGUGAAUGCAGGAUGCCUAUUUGAGCUUAUACCAAAUAAAGAAUUUUGUUUUAAAUACA